GACGAACGCUGGCGGCGUGCCUAAUACAUGCAAGUCGAACGCAGUGGGGACGGGUGAGUAACACGUGGGUAACCUCCCAUCAGAGGGGAUAACACUUGGAAACAGGUGCUAAACCGAUACUGAUGGAUGGACCCGCGGUGCAUUAGCUAGUUGGUGAGGGAACGGCUCACCAAGGCCACGAGGCAUAGCCACACUUUGAGGUUGUUCGGCAACACUGGGACUGAGACACGUCCCAGACGCCUACGCGAGGCAGCAGUAGGGAUUCUGCGGCAAUGGACGAAAGUCUGACCGAGCAACGCCGCGUGAGUGAAGAAGGUUUUCGGAUCGUAAAACUCUGUUGUUAGAGAAGCGGUAUCUAACCAGAAAGCCACGGCUAACUACGUGCCAGCAGCCGCGGUAAUAC
rnacentral:rRNA from 1 species